UGUCAUAAACUAAUGACUUAUAUAAAUUCUAUUAGAGUUAGACUAAUACAUCACAAAUAUUUUCAAAGAAAACACUGAAAAGUUUAUACUGAUUGUUGAUGCAUCUUGUAAGCUACAUUGCCCUCUCAAUACAUCUGGUAUCCAAAAGAUUAAACGCGCACCUUUGACUCGAACUAUAUAUAAACAUAACAGAUAGUUACAUUGUAUCGAGAUCUUAAGACAUAUGUAUA
rnacentral:misc_RNA from 1 species